rnacentral:rRNA from 1 species
GAUGAACGCUGGCGGCGUGCCUAAUACAUGCGAGUCGAGCGAACGGACGAGAAGCUUGCUUCUCUGAUGUUAGCGGCGGAUGGGUGAGUAACACGUGGAUAACCUACCUAUAAGACUGGGAUAACUUCGGGAAACCGGAGCUAAUACCGGAUAAUAUUUUGAACCGCAUGGUUCAAAAGUGAAAGACGGUCUUGCUGUCACUUAUAGAUGGAUCCGCGCUGCAUUAGCUAGUUGGUAAGGUAACGGCUUACCAAGGCAACGAUGCAUAGCCGACCUGAGAGGGUGAUCGGCCACACUGGAACUGAGACACGGUCCAGACUCCUACGGGAGGCAGCAGUAGGGAAUCUUCCGCAAUGGGCGAAAGCCUGACGGAGCAACGCCGCGUGAGUGAUGAAGGUCUUCGGAUCGUAAAACUCUGUUAUUAGGGAAGAACAUAUGUGUAAGUAACUGUGCACAUCUUGACGGUACCUAAUCAGAAAGCCACGGCUAACUACGUG